GAAGGCGAACAAGAUAAAUCUAGAGAAGAAGACUCUUCUCCACCAUUUGAGUUCGAGGCCUUUCUCCUAUAGGAUGGAGGCGCGACGGAAGGAAGGUUCAAAAUUUCUGGAGAUCAACAUCUUUGCUGACAUUUAUGUAUGACUUGGGAAUGAGUUGACCGAAUCCCUUCAUGCCACUAUGGUGGAGAAGAGUCAAUCGGUGCUUCAAGAGUCUGCCUCCCAGCUUCCUUCGGACACUCCAAUUGAGUCUGUGGAUCCCCCUAAGGAUGCAAGGUUUCACAUCUUCAUAGAGACGUUGGACCAAACUUUCGGUCGGAAGCCAAGGACUUAUUGUUGGUGGAUGGGAAAUGCCAAGCGGCGGGAGUAAAGCCUCGUCAUCCUCGCAGUCAAAGGGCCAGGUUACGGCUUUGACGCAAGAAAUCGUUGGCCUGAGGAGUGAGCUGGCAUCGUACAAGUCUCAAAUGUAAUGCUUGUACAAGCCCUUAGUUCCUCCGAAAUACAUUUCCCCAGUUUUUCUGCACCAUCGCCCUCACAACCCUUCCACACCGAGCAAGCACAGCAAUCAGGCCCGUCAACCUUCGACCUCAUCCCCAACCAACAGCAAGAUCCUUCAAAUGACUAUAGAUUUUUCCACUUUUUUUUCAUAGUUUUG